UACAGAGGGUGCAAGCGUUAAUCGGAAUUACUGGGCGUAAAGCGCGCGUAGGUGGUUCGUUAAGUUGGAUGUGAAAGCCCCGGGCUCAACCUGGGAACUGCAUUCAAAACUGACGAGCUAGAGUAUGGUAGAGGGUGGUGGAAUUUCCUGUGUAGCGGUGAGAUGCGUAGAUAUAGGAAGGAACACCAGUGGCGAAGGCGACCACCUGGACUGAUACUGACACUGAGGUGCGAAAGCGUGGGGAGCAAACAGG
rnacentral:rRNA from 1 species